rnacentral:lncRNA from 1 species
UUGUGGGAGUUGUAGUUCUUGGAGAAGCCCCACCUUUCCCUUUGUAGUGCCCGCCUGCCUGAGAGGCUGUGAGCGCUCCUAAGAGGAGAUCAAAGAAGCUUGGGGGGCUUCAGGGGAAGAAAAUCCCUCCUUUAACAAAUUUGCUGUAUCCUUGACAUCCAUCAACAGCUUCAUUGAUGACUUGGGCUACCAAGGGAGUCAGGAGCUGACCAGUGAAGAAGAUCCCAGCCUUGUUCAGACGAAGAGGCGGAAGCAGAACAAGGUUUGCAUUCUCCAGAUGAGGAAAAAUGAGGUGAAAGAGGA